rnacentral:rRNA from 1 species
CAGUAGCCGCGGGAAUACGUAGGGUGCAAGCGUUAAUCGGAAUUACUGGGCGUAAAGCGCGCGUAGGCGGUUACUCAAGUCAGAGGUGAAAGCCCGGGGCUCAACCCCGGAACUGCCUUUGAAACUAGGUGACUAGAAUCUUGGAGAGGUCAGUGGAAUUCCGAGUGUAGAGGUGAAAUUCGUAGAUAUUCGGAAGAACACCAGUGGCGAAGGCGACUGACUGGACAAGUAUUGACGCUGAGGUGCGAAAGCGUGGGGAGCAAACAGGAUUAGAUACCCCUGUAGUCCCUGUCUCUUAUAC